UGAGCAAUCUGCCCUUCUCUUCGGAAUAAGCGUUGGAAACGACGUCUAAUGCCGAAUACGACCUCCUUUCGCAUGAUCGGAGGUGGAAAGCUCCGGCGGAGAAGGAUGAGCUCGCGGCCUAUCAGCUAGUUGGUGGGGUAACGGCUCACCAAGGCGACGACGGGUAGCUGGUCUGAGAGGAUGGCCAGCCACAGUUGGGACUGAGACACGGUCCAGACUCCGUAGGG
rnacentral:rRNA from 1 species